GUGGGGAAUAUUGCACAAUGGGCGCAAGCCUGAUGCAGCAACGCCGCGUGAGGGACGACGGCCUUCGGGUUGUAAACCUCUUUUAGCAGGGAAGAAGCGAAAGUGACGGUACCUGCAGAAAAAGCACCGGCUAACUACGUGCCAGCAACCGCGGUAAUACGUAGGGUGCAAGCGUUGUCCGGAAUUAUUGGGCGUAAAGAGCUCGUAGGCGGUUUGUCGCGUCUGCUGUGAAAACCCGAGGCUCAACCGCGGGCCUGCAGUGGGUACGGGCAGACUAGAGUGCGGUAGGGGAGAUUGGAAUUCCUGGUGUAGCGGUGGAAUGCGCAGAUAUCAGGAGGAACACCGAUGGCGAAGGCAGAUCUCUGGGCCGUAACUGACGCUGAGGAGCGAAAGCGUGGGGAGCGAACAGGAUUAGAUACCCGUGUAGUCC
rnacentral:rRNA from 1 species